AUAUUGGACAAUGGGGGGAACCCUGAUCCAGCCAUGCCGCGUGUGUGAAGAAGGUCUUCGGAUUGUAAAGCACUUUAAGUUGGGAGGAAGAGUUGUAGGCUAAUACCUUGCAAUUUUGACGUUACCAACAGAAUAAGCACCGGCUAACUCUGUGCCAGCAGCCGCGGUAAUACGGAGGGUGCAAGCGUUAAUCGGAAUUACUGGGCGUAAAGCGCGCGUAGGUGGUUUGUUAAGUUGGAAGUGAAAGCCCCGGGCUCAACCUGGGAACUGCUUUCAAAACUGGCAAGCUAGAGUAUGGCAGAGGGUGGUGGAAUUUCCUGUGUAGCGGUGAAAUGCGUAGAUAUAGGAAGGAACACCAGUGGCGAAGGCGACUACCUGGACUGCAACUGACGCUGAGGCACGAAAGCGUGGGGAGCGAGCAGG
rnacentral:rRNA from 1 species